rnacentral:tRNA from 1 species
GCGGUCGUGGUGUAACGGCAACACAGCGGUCUGUGACUCCGCAAUCGAUGGGUUCAACUCCCCCGAUCUUA